GGCCACAUCAUGUUGAAACACAGCAUCCUGUAGAAUCAAUGAAGUUAAGCGGCAUUGAGACUGGUUAGUACCUAGAUGGGUGACUGCUUGGGAAUACCAGGUGCUGUAUGC